AAGAGAUAAUUACGAGUAAAUUUUUACUGUAAAAAACUUGUAAUACGUUUUUUUUGCAAACACUGUGUUGUUUUAAUGUGAUAUAUGACUCAUUAUAUAUUUACUUUUGAUUUUUUUUACUGAUAGGUUUGUCUUUAGUCGAACAUCGAAAAUUUUUCAUUCUACUCAGGUCAUAGCACAGCUAGAAGAAAAUGAAGUUAUUUUUGUAUAAUUAUGUUUUCGCGAGUGUGUUAAUUUCAGCCGAAGUGAUAACAUUAUUUAAAGAUAGUAGUAUCACGUGUGUUUUAACAGAAGAUUCUGUUAACUCCACUAUAUACGUGACAAAUGCAGGUAAUCAGGUAAAACUUAAACGAACGAUUCAAGAAAUAACCAAUCUAUAUAACGAUGAUUGGCAAUGGGCAAACUCGAGUGUUGACUUUCGGCCAGUACUUGACCAACGUUGGACAAAUUUUAGUGCAAACACUAAAGGUGUGAAACUUACAGACCGAUUCUCAUUGUGUUUAAAACAAGAUUCGACAAUUAUUUUACAUGACAUGCGUUACCAACAAUCUACAAACAUAUCAAUACGACACUUGCAUGGCCCCUACUCCGCUUGUCAGUGGGAGCACUACGAAAUAAUAAACAAUACUAGACAUAUGAGUCUAGUCAACACUGAAAACAACAAUGUUAUUAAUGUAACAAAACUGGAUUUUGAACCGAGAUGGCUAACAUUUUCUCCAGCCAAUUUAAAUAUUAAAGUACAUAAAUAUCAAUUUCGAUACUCUAAAACACCUAGCACAAAUCUAACAUACAUUAACAUAACAUCUUUUAGUUGCGUCUCUUUUUAUGUUUCUGUUGAUGAAGGAUCUUAUCUGAUGAUUUCGGUACAACCAGCAAACAUCGUUACAAAAAUACUUGGAUUUAAUGAGAAGAACCAAUUAAAACAAUGGAAAAAAUACGAAAUAACGACUGAUCCUAAAGCAACUAAUCAAACGCUUUCGUUUGACAGAAGACUAUACGAUGACCGUCUGGAAGGUUACUGGGCAAUCGAUGAUAUACACAGUUGUAGUACCGAACCAGUUGUUUAUCGAACCAACUUAAAUACAUCUUGGAAUUACCAAGUUUGUGUAGAGUUAAACCCAACUAGCUCUGCAAGUAAAUUUUGUGACAACGUCUCUGUAGGAAAACAGUGUCGCAUUAAAUGCGAUAGAGUUUUGGGGUCGUCAUAUCCCAACUGUGAGAGACAUCGAAUUUGCGUGUCACAAACUGAGUGUCGAUGUGCUUGGGGUUUCAAAGGAGUAAACUGUAGCGAAGCGUGUGAAGAAAAUGUUUGGGGAUUAGAUUGUUCGAAAAAUUGUACUAACUGCGAAAAGUGUGAUAAGAAAAUCGGAUGUCAAAAAUUAACUCAAGCACCUCACAAUUUCGGGAUCGAAUUAAGUUCACAAUCAACGGACGAAGUGAUACUCAGAUGGGAAUACCCACUUUACACAUAUGGAAAAAUUGAAAAAAAAUUCCAUACAGUACUACACAGCAGCAGUGGGACAGAAAAUAGUACGAUUCAAGUUUUCAAUGGGAUAAACUAUAACAAAACUAUUAAAAUCAAGUAUGGUAUUAAAUACAAGUUCACCGCAUGGGCACAAAACGCUCAUGAUGGUGAAAAAGCAACGAUUUAUUUCGUAAUCUCUAAACCCAUUUCUAAAUUGUCCAAUCAAAGUUUUAUAUUAUGGUGUAAAGAGAAAUGUCAUUUAGUAAAACCAAAAUUAAAAACACAAGAAAAUACAAGUUACAACAUUACAAUAAAACAAUAUAAUGGAACCAAAACGGAACACGAGGCGAAAGGAUCAAUUUCUCCUUCGGAAAAUGAAAUUCUUUGCACUGAAAAUAGCCCAUCAUGCGAAAUCCAUUCAGAAUUCCAAGACGUGGCAAAUCAAUCUUAUUUUAUAAAAACAGAUCGUGAAGAAAUUCCUAUCGAAUUUACAGCUACUGAAAAAAGCAAGAUUAUAUAAAAAACAAUUAUUAUUAUUCCGGCAGUUGUGCUAAGUGUAAUUCUUCUCGUUGCCUUCCUUCUAGGAUUCUUGUUUUACAGGAGAAAAAGUCAGGCAUAUGCAUCGAAAAAAUUAAAAAACAUACCAACUAUAAAAUACUCAGACCUUACAAAAAAAGAAACACUUAU